GUCAGGUGGUGUCAGGUGGAGUCAGGUGUGGUCAGGUGGAGUCAGGUGGAGUCAUGUGUGGUCAGGUGGAGUCAGGUGUGGUCAGGUGGAGUCAGGUGUGGUCAGGUGUGGUCAGGUGGAGUCAGGUGUGGUCAGGUGGAGUCAUGUGUGGUCAGGUGGAGUCAGGUGUGGUCAGGUGGAGUCAGGUGGACUCAGGUGGACUCCGGUGUGGUCAGGUGGAGUCAGGUGGGGUCAGGUGGAGUCAGGUGGACUCAGGUGUGGUCAGGUGGAGUCAGGUGUGGUCAGGUGGAGUCAGGUGGAGUCAGGUGUGGUCAGGUGGAGUCAGCUGGAGUCAGGUGGAGUCAGGUGUGGUCAGGUGGUGUCAGGUGGAGUCAG